CCUACGGGGGGCAGCAGUGAGGAAUAUUGGUCAAUGGGCGGGAGCCUGAACCAGCCAAGCCGCGUGAGGGAAGAAGGUACUGAGUAUUGUAAACCUCUUUUGCCAGGGGACAAAGGCGGCCUCGGGUGCCCGGACGAGGGUACCUGGAGAAAAAGCAUCGGCUAACUCCGUGCCAGCAGCCGCGGUAAUACGGAGGAUGCGAGCGGUAUCCGGAUUUAUUGGGUUUAAAGGGUGUGCAGGCGGCCUGUUAAGUCAGCGGUAAAAUGUCGGGGCUCAACCCCGGCCGGCCGUUGACACUGGCGUUCUCGAGUUGGAGAGAAGUAUGCGGAAUUCGUGGUGUAGCGGUGAAAUGCAUAGAUAUCACGCAGAACCCCGAUUGCGAAGGCAGCAUACCGGCUCCACACUGACGCUGAGGCACGAAAGCGUGGGUAUCGAACAGGAUUAGAUACCCGGGUAGUC
rnacentral:rRNA from 1 species